rnacentral:lncRNA from 1 species
ACCCAAAACAAAUUAAUCAAAUCGUAUGUACUCUCACAAAUUAAUCAAACCUCAACAAAUAGUCUAAUAGUGUUCAUAAAUGAAGUUACCUAACCAAAUCCAGCAUACCCAAAACAAAUUGCAAAACCAUGAAAUUUAGAAGCUACAGAUCAAAUUCAUCAGAAGUUCAGAACCAACGAAACUGAAAAAAAAAAUCUGCAAACGAAAAUUAACCAAUAACACAACACAAAAACAAAGAACCAUGGAUCAUGGAUCUGCAACGAUUAAUGACUGCCCUCGUCCGCCGUCAACUGCCCAUCAGUCCCAUGUUGUGCCACUGGACUGCUCCACUGCCACUGUGGUUUGGCUCUCCUCUUUGCUACCGUCGAAAUCCACAAAGAGAGAUAGUGAUUUGGAGGAAGAGAGGAAGGGGAGAGAAAGAGAGAGAGAGAGAGGCAGAGAGGAAAUAGCGGAGGGGAGAGAGUGCUUGAGAACAGGGAAAACCGAAAUGGGAUUGGG